CUUUACUGGAGAGAAGCUCUGUGCCCUCGCGGGACGGGAGCUGGGCAACGUAAAAAUAAAAUUACCGAAGUCCAGCAGUGGGAAAGAGUGAGGGAGGACAGAGAGGGGACACGCUCCUCAGAGAGUCUUCCUCACUGGGCCUUCAUCAUCAUCACUCGCAUGUGGCAUCGUCGUCAUGACAGAACCGCCUCCACCUCCUCCGCCCUGUCCGCCCCUGCUCCCCUUCUCCUGUCUGGCGCGGUAUUCCCAUUCCGGAUCCUGGUUGCGGAGCGUCUGCUGGGAGUAGAUCCCAUGGGAACGUGUGGUGGGAAAAUGGAGCGUCUGGACCAGAUCAGAUGAGUUUGAGAUCGACUUCAGCACACUGGACGAGCUCUUCGGACAGGUCAAAACGCUACGGGUCAGAGGUCACCGUGACGGCGAUAAACACUCUCAGAUGAGCACAGCUCAGCAACAUGCUGUGGAGAGGCACUCUGGGAGAAGUAAUAAAUGAGCACCAAGCAGGACAGACAAGCACUCCAAAGGGUG